CAAAAACAUAGCCUUUAGCCCAACAAGUAUUAAAGGUCCCGCCUGCCCAGUGACAAAGUUCAACGGCCGCGGUAUUCUAACCGUGCAAAGGUAGCGUAAUCACUUGUCUCCUAAAUAGAGACCCGUAUGAAUGGCUAAAUGAGGGCCAGCCUGUCUCUUACACCCAAUCAGUGAAACUGAUCUUCCAGUGCAAAAGCUGGAAUAAACCCAUAAGACGAGAAGACCCCGUGGAGCUUAAAAUAACCAAUAAUAUUAAUAAUAUUGCUAAUUUUAGUUGGGGCGACUUCGGAAACAAACAAAACUCCCGAGCAAAGACCAGCAAGUCAAACAAAGACCCACAAGUCAAAGUUCUAAAACAUGAUCCAGUUUAACUGAUCAACGAACCAAGUUACCCCGGGGAUAACAGCGCUAUCUUCUUCAAGAGUUCAUAUCGACAAGAAGGUUUACGACCUCGAUGUUGGAUCAGGACAUCCUAAGAGUGCAGCCGCUAUUAAGGGUUCGUUUGUUCAACGAUUAAUGUCCUACGUGAUCUGAGUU
rnacentral:rRNA from 1 species